rnacentral:misc_RNA from 1 species
AAGUCGUAACAAGGUUUCCGUAGGUGAACCUGCGGAAGGAUCAUCAACAAAAGGGUUAAAAGUGCGUGGACGGGCCGCAAGCCCGUUUCCACGUUCUUCACCCGAAAUCCUGUAUUCACCCCAAGUUCCUUUAAAAUUUCCAAUAAAAAACUUUUUGCAAAAGACCACCUUCGUUUCGGUGGCGUCUAAUUGCACAAAGCGAAAACUUUCAACAACGGAUCUCUUGGCUCUC